UCGGGAAUUUUGGGCAAUGGGCGAAAGCCUGACCCAGCAACGCCGCGUGAGGGAUGAAGUAUUUCGGUAUGUAAACCUCGAAAGAAUGGGAAGAAUAAAUGACGGUACCAUUUAUAAGCCCCGGCUAACUACGUGCCGGCAGCCGCGGUAAUACGUAGGGGGCAAGCGUUGUCCGGAUUUACUGGGUGUAAAGGGCGCGCAGGCGGGAUAAAAAGUCAGUGGUGAAAUCCUGCAGCUUAACUGUAGAACUGCCUUUGAUACUUUUAUUCUUGAUUUCGGGAGAGAGAGACGGAAUUCCAGGUGUGGUGGUUAAAUACGUAGAUAUCUGGAAGAACACCAGUUGCGAAGGCGGUCUCUUGGUCCGACACUGACGCUGAGGCGCGAAAGCGUGGGGAGCAAACA
rnacentral:rRNA from 1 species